UACGUAGGGAGCGAGCGUUGUCCGGAAUUACUGGGUGUAAAGGGUGCGCAGGCGGGACAGCAAGUCCGGCGUGAAAUCUAUCAGCUCAACUGAUAGCAUGCUCCGGAAACUGCUGAUCUUGAGUGAAGCAGAGGCAGGCGGAAUUCCGAGUGUAGCGGUGAAAUGCGUAGAUAUUCGGAGGAACACCAGUGGCGAAGGCGGCCUGCUGGGCUUUAACUGACGCUGAGGCACGAAAGCAUGGGGAGCAAACAGG
rnacentral:rRNA from 1 species